AUGUCAUGCAUUGGUAAGUUUUUGACUGGAUUUUGAUGAAGUUCUUUUUGGUGGUUUGUUUUACAGAAAAAAAAAAUAUGAUGAUGGUAUUAAAGAAUGCACAAAAGCAUUGGAGCUAAACCUUAACUACAUAAGUGUUUUGCUAAGAAGAGCAGAGGUGUAUGAAAAGUUGUAACAAUUUGAAGAGACUAUAGCAGAUAUGACAAAGGUUUUGGAAGUUGACCCAUCAUAUGAUCAAGCUAGAAGACAGAUUGUUCGCUUGAAGCCAUUAGCAGAUGAAAAACGUCAAAAGAUGAAGGAAGAAAUGAUUGUUGACCAUUGGUGGUAUGAACUUCUUUGGGUAGUUGCUGUUAAAUGAUUCUUUUUUGCUCUUCACGUGUAAAUAUAGGAAUGCUUCAUUUUUGCAAAAGAAAAUGUGUUCUAGGGGAGAAGAGUGGAGGAGGAGGAGAGGAUCUGGAAUUUUUGCAAAAGUAAAAGGAGCUAGUGUGAGCUGAGGUGGCUAGUGCAUUCGGAAGAUUCUGGAGGAAGGGGAAGGUUAAUGUGAGCAGAUAAAGCUUUGCUUCAGGUGCUGCUAAAGAAUAGAUGCUUGUGGAAGUGGACAAACGAUUACUGAGAUUAGCAAAAGGAUGGUUUAAGGGAAAUGUAAGCUGAGGGAAAUUGGAAAUUGCAAUUCUGGUCAAUUUGGAAUGAGCGCUGACAAUUUCAAAGCUGUGAAAGAUCCAAACACUGGUUCAUAUUCUAUUCCAUUUCAGUGCUAAUAUCUUUUACAAACUUCACAUAUAUUCUUUAGUUUCUGGAGCUAUGGAUCAAAUGGACUGAAAUCUUAAAGAGGAUGAAGCACGUUUCCUCACAGUGUUGAUCUCAGUCGUAUGAUUAUGUUUUUACAUAUAACUUGAGAAAAAGAAAUUGAUGUGGUUUUUUGCCAUAAUAUGUUAUAAACAGACUUAAAGUUUCACUUUACUGGAAGUUUCUUAUAGUUGCUUUAGUACUUUCCAUUUCUUCGUGGUGUUGUCCAUGGUUUUGAUACUGUUUUGGAGGGCAUCUGAAGGUGCAGCAUAAUUUAUGCUAUCAACGUCUUUGUCAUGAUCUGUUCGGAGAGUAGCAUAGAAAUGUAGAACCUUGCACGCAAACAGGGAGAGAGUCCACCUCCUCUUCCCACCCAUCCCAAAAAAGGGUAAAUUCUGACUAGAUAUCAUAUCAUAGCCACACUAAAAGUGUGUAAGCUCGGAUGAACACUGAAAUGGUCUGGUUACUCCGUAAUUUUCAUGAACUCUGGGGGUGUUUGUUGGUUGCAUGAUUUUUGGGCGGCUUGGGGACAUGUGGGCGCAGACAGCCUCAUUG